rnacentral:rRNA from 1 species
CCUACGGGUGGCUGCAGUGGGGGAUAUUGCACAAUGGGGGAAACCCUGAUGCAGCGACGCCGCGUGUGGGAAGACGGUCUUCUGGAUUGUAAACCACUGUCCCCAGGGACGAAAAUGACGGUACCUGGGGAGGAAGCUCCGGCUAACUACGUGCCAGCAGCCGCGGUAAUACGUAGGGAGCAAGCGUUGUCCGGAAUUACUGGGUGUAAAGGGAGCGUAGGCGGGGAUGCAAGUUGGGUGUCAAGACUACCGGCCAAACCGAUAGUCGCACUCAAAACUGCAACUCUUGAGUGAAGUAGAGGCAGGCGGAAUUCCUGGUGUAGCGGUGAAAUGCGUAGAUAUUAGGAGGAACACCAGUGGCGAAGGCGGCCUGCUGGGCUUUUACUGACGCUGAGGCUCGAAAGUGUGGGGAGCAAACAGGAUUAGAUACCCCGGUAGUC